rnacentral:rRNA from 1 species
UGGGGAAUAUUGGACAAUGGGCGAAAGCCUGAUCCAGCCAUGCCGCGUGUGUGAAGAAGGUCUUCGGAUUGUAAAGCACUUUAAGUUGGGAGGAAGGGCAGUAAGCGAAUACCUUGCUGUUUUGACGUUACCGACAGAAUAAGCACCGGCUAACUCUGUGCCAGCAGCCGCGGUAAUACAGAGGGUGCAAGCGUUAAUCGGAAUUACUGGGCGUAAAGCGCGCGUAGGUGGUUCGUUAAGUUGAAUGUGAAAGCCCCGGGCUCAACCUGGGAACUGCAUCCAAAGCUGGCGAGCUAGAGUAGGGCAGAGGGUGGUGGAAUUUCCUGUGUAGCGGUGAAAUGCGUAGAUAUAGGAAGGAACACCAGUGGCGAAGGCGACCACCUGGGCUCAUACUGACAUUGAGGUGCGAAAGCGUGGGGAGCAAACAGG